rnacentral:lncRNA from 1 species
GAAUCAGCCAACAACCUUCAUGUCAUCUAUAAGGGACAACGUAUUUUUAUGACUCUCUUCUUUAGAACACUCCAGAAGCUCAUGAUUCUGCACAUUCAUUCAUCAACAAAUAUGUCCUGAAAGUGUGCUCCCUCAAGGCGCUAGAGGGUCCAACUCACAAACGCCAAAUCUCCAAAUGUGCGCUAGAGGGCGCCACUCUCCCAUUGGCGCCCGCUCCUCAAAGCCCCUUGUCACGACCUGGGAUGGUACUCAGCCUAGAAAGAUUCCCUUCGCCUGCUUCACACGCUCACCCACACAGAUGAAGAACUUGACACCACUUGCAGUUUAAAAGCGAAAUAAAUUCCAUCCGUUGGAAGCAUAAACAAAAAAAAGAAAGGCAGAACCUGCCCAACUGCCCCCAAACAGGUCUAUUUUCCAGCAGGCACUGUGGGCAGGGAGUCUGUGCCUUCCUAAAAUCAUGACAGCUGGGUGCUGUUUUCAGCACUAAAGUGCCAAAAGAAAACUUCGAGAUUGAGAUCAAUAAGUCUUCAAUUAAAUGUCUACGCGAUGCAGCCUUCCCACUUUAUUAACUGGUAAGGAUACUCUCAAAAGUAUUUUUAUUCCAUUUUAAAAAUUAAUAGAUUUGAUUUUCUCAUAUUACCAAUCUUCUUCAGUCCGCCCAAAUAAAGGCCAAGAAAAC